AAGAGUUGCAAAACUCCCUUAAACCAUCGCGAACGUCACCCCAUAACCGUUGCUUCGGCGGGCAGGCCAGACCCCUCACGGGGCGCCUCCCGGCCCCCUCCCGGGGGGGCGCUCGCCGGAGCGGCACACCCAAACUAUUAUAAUCAUUGGCCUCUCUGAGUAAGAUUUUUAAAUAAGUCA
rnacentral:misc_RNA from 1 species